CUCUUCGGAGGCGAGUAGACCGGCGGACGGGUGAGUAACGCGUGAGUGAUCUCCCCCCUGGCGGGGGACAACCGUGGGAAACUGCGGCUAAUACCGCAUACAGCGGCGGGCUUUCGGGCCGGUCGUGAAAGCUGGCCUCUUCCUUAAGCCAGCGCCGGGGGAUGAGCUCGCGUCCUAUCAGCCAGCUGGUGAGGUAAGGGCUCACCAGGGCGAUGACGGGUAGCUGACGUGAGAGCGUGGUCAGCCACACUGGGACUGAGACACGGCCCAGACUCCUACGGGAGGCAGCAGUGGGGAAUCUUGCACAAUGGGGGCAACCCUGAUGCAGCGACGCCGCGUGUGGGAGGAAGGCCUUCGGGUUGUAAACCACUGUCGGGCGGGACGAGCCGGGGGUCGUCGAACAGGCGGCUCCUCCGACGGUACCGUCCACAGGAAGCUCCGGCUAACUCCGUGCCAGCAGCCGCGGUAAAACGGAGGGAGCAAGCGUUGUCCGGAAUUACUGGGCGUACAGAGCGCGCAGGCGGCCAGGUCAGUCGUAAUGUGAAAGGCCCGGGCUCAACCCGGGCAUGCCAUGCGAUACUGCCUGGCUAGAGGCCGGCAGGGGCCAGCGGAAUUCCCGGUGUAGCGGUGGAAUGCGUAGAUAUCGGGAGGAACACCAGCGGCGAAGGCGGCUGGCUGGGUCGGGCCUGACGCUGCAGCGCGAAA
rnacentral:rRNA from 1 species